GUGAGCAGAGAGGGAGCGGUGGGGGAAGUCUGUCCCAUGGGGUUCCUGAGCCCACGCAUGUCCCUCACCCUGAUGCUGCCCUGCAG
rnacentral:miRNA from 1 species